rnacentral:rRNA from 1 species
GUUGAACGCUGGCGGCGGGCCUAACACAUGCAAGUCGAGCGAGCGGCGGACGGGUGAGUGAUGUAUGGGGAUCUGCCCGAUAGAGGGGUAUAACUACUGGAACCGGUGGCUAAUCCCGCAUACUGUCCGAUGAACCCAUAUGGGAUUAGGGAGUCGGUGUGGUAAAGGCUCACCUAGGCGACGAUCUCUAGCUGGUCUGAGAGGAUGAGCAGCAACACUGGGACUGAGACACGGCCCAGACUCCGACGGGAGGCAGCAGUGGGGAAUAUGCGACAAUGGGCGAAAGUCUGAUGCAGCCAUGCCGCGUGUAUGAAGAAGGUCUUAGGGUCGUAAAGUACUUUCAGCGGGGAGGCGUUACCCGCCGAAGAAGCACCGGCUAACUCCGUGCCAGCCGCCGCGGUAAUAC